GAUUCAUUUCCGAUGUGCCACAGAGGGAACUCCUGAAAAUGAACUUCCAGCAGACCCCUGGAGUACUCGCUGAUCAUGUAGGACAGGUUCUUGGGGGUUAGGGGAGCAGAGAGCCCAUACUCCACCACAUGCCCCCAAGCAUAUCAGAGACUCCACAGCAAUGGACUGGAAUAACUCUGAUGGUUUUCAGAAGCAAGUCUUUUCCAGUCACCUCCAAAGACCAGCACAGUUUUCUUGCCGCCAUUCCUCCCACAGGCCACCGGCUUCUGGGCUGCAAGGAGAAGGCAACUGCCGGGAAAGAGAGUAGCCACUGCCGGCUCAUCUUCCAGGGCCCGUAUCCUCGUCACGUGCUUCAGGGCAGGAAAGACAAAACUGGCUGCGAGGCCAAAAUAGCUGAUCUGCAGCUGCUUUGACUAAGCUGCCUCUGCUUCCCGCUCCCAAGGCCUGCACGCUCUUUCCCCACCGGCCCAGGGCGGGCCGCACAGACAGGGGAAAUGCAUUCAGUCCAUCAGGCAUGACAGAGUUCAAAUUACCAAGUCAGCAUGAAAAGUCCCACUCUAAAUGGACUGAAAUUGGAUUCUAUUAAAAACCACACUCAGCGAGGCCCUUGGCUAUUAAUAUUUGCUAAGACACGGAGGAGGGGGAGAAGGCAGGCCCCCGCGAAAGGCUGGGGAUCUCAGCUGUUCUGUUGAAUUGCUUUUCUGGAAGCAAGCCAACCACUGAAAGCCAGAUUUGCCCUGUCUUCAACAUCCCACGGAAUAUUAGGGCUGGAAAGAAUCUCAAAUCUCAAUAGUUGAACCUCUCAUCUUACAGACAAGGGAUCAAGCCCAGAGGAGAUAAGUGACUCAUUCAAGGUUACACUUGUCCCUUUUCAAGAGCCAAAGCCAGGACUAGAACUUACAUCAGCAUUCUCACAAUGAAAUUACUCUUCUGUCCACUGAAAUAAAAUAGACUUACAAAGCACCCACCUGUCUUUUUCAAAUGUAAUGCUGUCACCUUACUCUCUUCUCAAAAGAGAAGGAACAUAAUACUCAUGCAUUCAUGCCCCCACUCAAUAUUUAUCGUCCCUGUCACUUCAGUAUAGGUGGUUAAACAAGGUAUUGUCUUUGCUUGAGAAACUUACAGUCUGUAGAGAAAAAGGAAAAUACACUUCAAAUCUGUGGAACAAAUGUUCCAGAAACACCGAGGGCACACUGAGAAGGGGCCCUGGAGGAUCAAGGAAGAUUUUCCUGAGGAAGAGCCAAUUGGAGCCGAAGUGGUGAGAGACCAGGGUCAAGGGCAAGGCUCUAUGACUCCUUUUCCUGGAUACAAUAUAAAAGGUUUUGAGACCAUCAGAGUGAGCUGUCUUUUCUUACUCCCUUUUUUCAUGCUUGGGCUCAGGCAAUGUCAUCUUUAUGACCCUUGUAGGCUCAAAAACUGAGAUGUCACAGAAAACUCUGCAGAUGGUGGUUAGAUCCCCUCUCUGCAGACUUGCGACAAGUGACAACACCUAUUAUCUCUGAGUGCAAUCAGGAGCUCUUCAAGACUUGUGGUUUCCAUAGUAGGUGACAAUUCUACACCAGGUUUCGUGAAUGUAGCUCUAGAGGCAUCAUGUCAUGAGCACCUUUGAGAUCAUCUAUUGUUUUAUGUCCCUUUUUCCUCUAAUCUCAGCCUCUUUAUUCCAGCACAGCAUUGUCCAUAAAAAACAUAAUGUGAGCCACCUGUAUGACUUUAAAUUUUCUGGUAGGCACACUUAAAAAUGGAAAAAUAAACAGAGAAAGUUACUUUUAGUAAUGUUUUCUAAACAAAAAUAAAAUCAAGAAAUCAAUCAAGGAGUUCCCGUCGUGGCGCAGUGGUUAACGAAUCCGACUGGGAACCAUGAGGUUGCAGGUUCGAUCCCAGCCCUUGCUCAGUGGGUUAAGGAUCCGGCGUUGCCGUGAGCUAUGGUGUAGGUCACAGACAUGGCUCGGAUCCUGCAUUGCUGUGGCUCUGGUGUAGGCCGACAUCUGUAGCUCUAAUUUGACCCCUAGCCUGGGAACCUCCAUAUGCUGCAGGUAUGGCCCUAAAAAACAAAAUAAAUAAAUAAAUAUAUAAACAAACAAAAUAUUGUUAAAUAAAAUUAAAGAAGUCCUAAAUAAAUGGAAAGACUUUCCAUGUUCAUGAACUGUUCUUAAUAUUGUUAAGAUAGGAGUUCCCAUCAUGGCUCAGCAGAAAUGCACCUGACUAGUACCCAUGAGGAUGCAGGUUUGACCCCUGGCUCCACCAGCAGGUUAAGGGUCUGGUGUUGCCACGAGCUGUGAUAUAGUUCGCAGACAUGGCUCAGAUCUGGUGUUGCUGUGGCUGUGGAGUAGGCCGGCAGCUGCAGUGCCGGUUUGACCCCUAGCCUGGGAACUUCCAUAU
ensembl:lncRNA